rnacentral:ncRNA from 1 species
CCAAAGGCAAGGAAGAGAAGAGUAAGCUGGGAGAUACGUCACAGAGAGCCCGGAUUGGUGGAAACGGGUACGGAAGGCCUGGCCGAACAUGGUCUCGGAGCCGCGCACCGAGUGUAUCUGCAUUAGGCUGCGACGGGAGCGCCCGUAACAGCGCAGGAGUAUCGGAGUUUCUCCCGUACUUCAUAAGGCCCGUAUCCGUGAGGAGCGGGUGAAGCAAGGUGGUACCACGAAGCCAAAGGCUCUCGUCCUUGAU